UUCUUGUCCUGUCGGUUGGUUAAUUUGGGCUCGGUACUAAUGCCUCGGUCUCCUCUUCACUAGUUUUAAAGGGGGUUUCGGAACCCCCGACCGCUAAGUCGAACCAAGAACGCGACGGGGGAGAGAUGCUCCGCUCCUCCGCAUGCUCCCUCCUCCGACCCCGGCGGUUCUCCUCCCUUGCUGACGGAAGCUUCGGCGGAGACGCCAGCAGCAGCGUCUCGGAAAAGAUUGCCGUCGCCGUGCUAUUCGAGCGGCUUCCAGUUGUCAUCCCCAAGACGGAUCCCGUCGUCUACGCCGUCCAAGAAUUAUCGUUAGAUUGCAGAAGAGAAGAAGCAUCACAAUCUUUGUGGCCGUCCAAGAAAGAAGAGAGUUACAAAAAAGAUAACAGAAGAAGAAGAAGAAGAUACAACAACAUACAGCAGCAAUCUUUAUCCUUUUAGACAGACUCGAAGAUCAUAGGAUUUAGCUCUUCACAAAAUCAGGUUGAUUUGUCACUGUUCGUACCCACGCCCAUUUGUGAUCUCUUGUGUCCACCACAUUCCUUGCGACUGCCGCCUCCUCCGCCGGGAUGUAGCCAUAGUUACCAUUUAUUGGGCCAGCCACAAAUCCAGUGUACCCUGCCAUCACUCCAUGGAUUGCAGAAUGAGCCAAUAUGGUGCAGUAUAGGUUGUCUGUUG